rnacentral:lncRNA from 1 species
CAGGCCAGUGCACAGCCAUUUCUUAUACUUGGUCUUUUGGUUACUGCUUUAGCAACUAGCCAUUAAUAUUCAAGUGGAGAUGCCUUUUCCUCCAUGGAGAUGCCAAGCUGCUUAGAGCAAACAAAGCUCUUUCUAUUUAAUGACUUGUGUUUUACUUUUCCUUAAAUGUAGAAUGCUAGAUUAGGAUGUAAAAUUUAAUUUAAUUUAUGCAGAUUUUGGAUGAUUUUUAUUAUUUAUUUUAACAAAUU